UACGAAGGGGGCUAGCGUUGCUCGGAUUGACUGGGCGUAAAGGGCGCGUAGGCGGUUUUGUAAGCCAGAUGUGAAAUCCCCGGGCUUAACCUGGGAAUGGCAUUUGGGACUGCAAGGCUGGAGUGUGGCAGAGGAGACUGGAAUUCCUGGUGUAGCAGUGAAAUGCGUAGAUAUCAGGAGGAAUACCGAUGGCGAAGGCAGGUCUCUGGGCUGACACUGACGCUCAUGCACGAAAGCGUGGGGAGCAAACAGG
rnacentral:rRNA from 1 species